GUAGGGAAUAUUGCGCAAUGGGGGAAACCCUGACGCAGCGACGCCGCGUGAGUGAUGAAGGCCUUCGGGUCGUAAAGCUCUGUUGUACGGGAAGAAGUUUGCAGUGCUAAUACCAUUGCAAAUUGACGGUACCGUAUAAGAAAGGAUCGGCUAACUUCGUGCCAGCAGCCGCGGUAAGACGAGGGAUCCUAGCGUUGUUCGGAAUCACUGGGCGUAAAGCGUUUGUAGGCGGCUCUUCAAGUCGGGUGUGAAAUCCCAUGGCUCAACCAUGGAAGUGCAUUCGAAACUGCAGAGCUUGAAUAUGGAAGAGGAGAGUAGAAUUCCAGGUGUAGUGGUGAAAUACGUAGAUAUCUGGAGGAAUACCGGUGGCGAAGGCGGCUCUCUGGUCCAAUAUUGACGCUGAGAAACGAAAGUGCGGGGAUCAAACAGGAUUAGAAACCCUUGUAGUCC
rnacentral:rRNA from 1 species